AGACUGUGACAACUGGACUGUUCAGUCUGAGCUAAUGGCUUCUGUUAAUGCCUUUCUCUAGUUUCACCUGGUGGAAAUCCAUCUAAAUCUAUCUGACUGCAAGUUUGGGAUUCUUAGCCACCAGCAUCCUGAUUCAAACAUGUCAGGGCUGUGAGCAGCAACCAGGUGGUCGGGUCACGGAGUCACAUCCACGAGAUGAUUGGCACACUGGAGACUCAUAACAAGCAGCACUUAUCCAUCCAGCUUUCACACUGAGUGAGGAGGAUUAUAGCCAAGCUCUCCACGCGUAACCCCAGAUUCUCAUCCCACUUCUAAUCCCCUGUAGAGACCUAAAAUAGCAGAUUCCAAAGUGCUCACAUGAAGCACCAGCGCAAACAAUCUGCCAGGGACAAAUGGUGAAGUACGUCAGCGGACCAGUGAGCCAAACUCCAAAAUAACCAGUCUUCACCUUAAAGACUGCUGGGUCAUGAGCUCUGAUAAGAACUCCAGCUUUUCAAAUUGUGGCUCAGACUGAGAAGCGCCUGCAAAUACAAAUGAGCUGAACACCCUGCAAACUGCCUCUUACAUCAUGGAUUGGAGUAGGAUAGUUUUGCGCUGCAUUAGUCAGAUCGUAGACUGCAUGAAAAGAUGGACGACAUGACAGUGCCCUUAAAGUGGAUCCAAAAGAUUUAACUGACUGGCUGCAGUAUAAGUCAAACAGCUCCGCCUCCUCCAUGUUAACAGACUGGACUUCAGUAAAACUGUAGAAUCUGAAUACACGUCACAGAAAUUCCUCUCAAACAUGGUUUCUGUCUCUAAAAUUGGCCCUUAAUAUGAUGAUUUACAUUCAAAUCCUAAUUUUUCGGAAGAUUAUAGCUUUAAUUAGAAACUUCAUGCUGUUUAAAGGGGAAUUAACGCCAUGAUUGACAGCUAUUUUUCUAAAUCUGCAGAGCUUUAUUCACCAUGUCUGCGAUAACACACUCACACAAGCCAGACUAAGGAAUCUGUUCUGCUCUUGACUCUGCCAACCUGAGGGGACCUUUUGCUCUGGUAUUGUUAACUUAAGUGUGUUUUAGUCGUCUGAAGAGUCACUGGUGCUGUCACAAAGUACAGAAGGUCAGGAUCGGUCAAGCACAGUAGAGGUUAGAGUAAGUUCAAUCUUUAAUUAACAUGACAAUGCAGAAUGUGUCAACUAUAAGAUCUGCUGUCUGAUAAAAUGUGUGAAAUAAAGUAUGUAUUUCCUCUUGA